UGGCCUACCCAACGUGGUCUACCGGAUAUGAAAGAACUUAACAAAGAAAGAAGAAAAGUAACUAUUACAUGCGCCACCAAUGUCCUGGAACCAAUAAUCGACUGCACGAAGUUUUCAUCCUGUAAACGUCUUCUUCGAACCACCGCUUAUGUCCUUCGAUUCUGCCAUAAUGUCCGAGCGAAGUUAUCCCGCAACAAGGACUUUCCCACCUACGAAGGUCCUCUUAACCCCAUAGAGAUCCAGAGUGCAGAAGAAUACUGGCUAAAGAUUGCUCAAAUCGACCUUAUGAAGCGGAUGAAGAAAGGAGACUUUAAAACGUUAACCCCAUUCGUAGAUCCAAAAGGUAUCAUCCGAGUUGGUGGUCGUGUCAACCCAAGUCUUGUAUCUUACGAUAACACACGCCCGGCCCUGUUGCCUCGAAAGCAUUGGAUUUCUGUACUCGUCAUACGCAAUGCCCACCAAAUCAGCCAUUCAGGCGUUGACACCACAACCGCAAGAACCAGAAGAAAAUAUUGGGUGAUCCGAGGUCACGACGUCGCCAAAGCAGAGAAAAAUCGUUGUACUUUAUGUAGAAAGAUCGAAGCCAAAGUAGAGAACCAGUUUAUGGCCAACUUACCUGCAUCACGCCUUCAGCCUUACACACCACCGUUUAUGUUUACCUCCUGCGAUUAUUUUAGUCCAAUAAAGGUGAAAGUCGGAAGAAAUAAAACGACAAAACAUUACGGAGUUAUAUUUACGUGCACGAACACGCGAGCUGUUCAUUGCGAACUCGCUGUUGACGCAAGUGCGAUGGAGUUUCUUCAAGUCCUACGAAGAUUCUUCUCGUACAGAGGUUACCCGAAAUUGAUGCUGUCUGAUAACGGACUUCAGAUGGUCGGAGCAGAGAACGAGCUCAGAGCUAUGAUCGAAGGUUGGGAUAAGAACAAGUUAAAGGAGUACUGUGCCGACAGAGGAAUAACGUGGCAGUUCACAACACCUCUUGCCCCCCACCAAAAUGGAUGUUCUGAGUCCAUGGUAAAGUCCUGUAAGAAAGCGAUCAAGAAAGCGAUUGGAGACACUUUAUUAACGCCGUUCGAGCUACACACGUGUCUUGUAGAAGUAGCUAAUCUGCUGAAUCAACGUCCUAUUGGUAAGCUGUCGCAAGAUCCCGAUGACGGAGCAUAUAUUUGUCCUAAUGACAUCCUCUUAGGCAGAGCCACCAACGCUGUUCCACAAGGACCGUUCCGCAAAACUAACAACCCACGUCACCGAUUCGAAUUCUGUCAAAGGAUCAUAGACUCGUUUUGGAAGAGAUGGUCUGUAGAAGUAUUGCCUCGCUUAGUACCAAGAAAACAAUGGAACAGAAAGAAUAGAAAUAUUCGCGUAGAUGACUGGGUUAUCAUCGCUGAUCCUAAUGCUGUACGGGGAAAUUGGCAAAAUGGAAGAGUUAUCCGAGUAUUCCCAGGAGAUGACGGAUUAAUCAGAAAUGUGGAAGUGAAAACAGCAACUGGAAAUUAUAGACGCCCAAUUACGAAGCUCUGUGUUAUUUAUCCUGUCGAAGGCUUUAAAGAUUAAAUGGGAUUCUCCCAUUGUCCGGGGGUAUGUUGCGUUUGAAAGCAAGAGCCGCUAGAGGACUGGGGCGAAAUAAACGAAAACAAAGAUGGCGGCCAGCACGAAGUGAAACUAAAGUAAAGAAACAAAUUAUUUAGAUUUUAUUGUUGAAGAAAGGUUAGAAACGAUGGACGUAGUCGGACAAAUGUACGUUUACCUACUUUUCGCCAUUUUGAACUUUAUUUCUUAGAUCUAUAUCGUAAACAUUGUCAUAUUUGUAUUUUGUAGCUUCAGAUUAUCUGGUAUCACAUUUAUGUAUUAUUAAAUUGAUCAAAAUCCUGAAAUGUUGCGUUCGUCGUCGUGUCUAAUCUUGAAC